UGGUUGACGGGGCCACACCUCAGCGUGAUACUGUGAGCUACACUGGCGUAUCUAAAACCCAUCAUAUUGUCAGGUGAAAAAUUUCCUACAAAGCAAAAACUCUGGGCCGAAUCGCGUCCAUAAGUUGAUUCUCUUCGUUGACGUGCACGUAUAUUAGGACCCCUCGGGGAGCAGGAGGUCACCCCAGCGCUGCUGUACAUUCCGGCCCGUCAUGGUGGCUGCUAUUUACAUUGGACUGUACCUUAAGCAAAUUCAUCUCAAUUAAGGGCUCUGGAGACCGACCCCCCGAAAACCUGAUAGGAUUCAGACAGUCCCCGGGAGCAAAGAAAAGAAGAAAAGAACAACUCAACUUCAGCAGCUGAUAAGUACUGGUAGGAUUAAGAUUUUUUUUUUUUUAUAGAAGUAAUUUACAAAUCUGUUUCAGACAGGAUUCAGACAGUCCACAGACAGUUUAGCAACAGCUGGAGGGUAACAGUUCGUGACCACUGCUUUACGGGAUAUAUACCAUAUAUACAGUAAAUAUGUCAGCAACCAUAUAUAUAGUUUGCAUAUGGUUACCCGUGCAGGAUUCAGACAGUCCCCGGGAGCAAAGAAAAGAACAACUCAACUUCAGCUGCUGAUAGGAACUGGUAGGAUAUAGAUUAUUAUUUUUUUUUUAUAGAAGUAAUUUACAAAUCUGUUUCAGACAGGAUUCAGACAGUCCCCGGGAGCAAAGAAAAGAAGAAAAGAACAACUCAACUUCAGCAGCUGAUAAGUACUGGUAGGGUUAAGAUUUUUUUUUUUUUUUUAUAGAAGUAAUUUACAAAUCUGUUUUAGACAGGAUUCAAACAGUCCCUGGGAGCAAAGAAAAGAAGAAAAGAACAACUCAACUUCAGCAGCUAUUAAGUACUGGUAGGAUUAAGAUAUUUUUUUUUUAUAGAAGUAAUUUACAAAUCUGUUUCAGACAGGAUUCAGACAGUCCCCAGACAGUUUAGCAACAGCUGGAGGGCAAUAGUUUGGGACCACUGCUUUACGGGAUAUAUACCGUACAUACAGUAAAUAUGUCAGCAACCAUAUAUAUAGUGUGCAUAUGGUUACCCGUGCAGGAUUCAGACAAUCCCAGGGAGCGAAGAAAAGAACAACUCAACUUCAGCUGCUGAUAGGUACUGGUAGUAUUAAGUUUUUUUUUUUUAUGGAAGUAAUUUACAAAUCUGUUCUAGACAGGAUUCAAACAGUCCCUGGGAGCAAAGAAAAGAAGAAAAGAACAACUCAACUUCAGCAGCUGAUAAGUACUGGUAGGAUUAAGAUUUUUUUUUUUUUUUUUUUUUAUAGAAGUAAUUUACAAAUCUGAUUCAGACAGGAUUCAGACAGUCCACAGACAGUUUAGCAACAGCUGGAGGGCAACAGUUUGGGACCACUGCUUUACGGGAUAUAUAUCGUACAUACAGUAAAUAUGUCAGCAACCAUAUAUAUAGUGAGCAUAUGGUUACCCGUGCAGGAAUCAGACAGUCCUUGGUAGCGAAGAAAAGAACAACUCAACUUCAGCUGCUGAUAAGUACUGGUAGGAUUAAGAUUUUUUUUUUUAUAGACGUAAUUUGCAAAUCAGUUUCAGACAGGAUUCAGACAGUCCCCGGGAGCAGAGGGGUUAAGAGAAGUCGGCAUCCAUUCCUGUGUAAUCAUAUCUCUCAUUAAAACUAUGUGCCCCCCCCUCCGCUCGUCCUCUACAUGCUCAUUUAUCAACUCUCAAGCAAAAACACUACCCCUAUUCUGCUCAGGAAUGUGUUUUCAGAAACUCUAUCCCACUCUCCAAGCCUGGGCCAAGUCCCAAAACUCUCAAGGAUUAAUGACAGGGGGCUCUUAGACCCUCAUCCCCCCCACCCGUAUGCACUUCCAUCUCGAGGGGAUCUAGUUCUUGGUAUGUUCACCUGCAUACUGCAUUGUUACUGAUCCUGAGCUCUGGGGAAGGGGCGCACAGCUGCAACCCAUGAAAUUGUCAAAAUUCAAUCACCUUUGUCUAACCCCUUCCCUGCCGGAGGGGAAAAGCCACAGACUGAUCCGCAUUCCGAGGAAGUUCUGACGUCAAAACAGUCUUCACGCCGUCUCCAGACCCCCUGCGCCCCAAAUAUGUUCCCUACAUCUCCACGAGGAGUCAAUAAUGGACGAAUAUUAAAAAAGGCUGAAAAUAAAAAAUACUCAUGUAAACCAGGUCUGGACCUAUAUCUUAUAGG